UGGGAAGAUCCCUGUAUAUUCCUGAGGCAUGGACCACAUGGGCACUAGCAGUGCAGUCUUCCCACAAUGCGCCACCAAUGUGCUCAGCUUUGACCUGGUGAGGCCACAUAGUGGUAUCCAUGAUCCAUCCAGUCUUUUGGCAUAG
rnacentral:sRNA from 1 species